CACUAUCCAUGUCACCAUCGUCAACUUCCUUACCAAUCUUCUCAUUUUCGGCAGCAUCCAAAAUGAAUUGAUCAAAAGCAUCCUCUUCCUCGUCUCUCUCAGUAUCUAUAGUGUCAUUUAAUCUUAUAGCCUAUUUCUCAACAGCUGGGUUCUUGGAAUUAUGCAUUGAAUCCAAUCCAUCACCUACAUUUUCCUCUUCAUUUGAAACCUGGUCAUUCUCCGUAGCAGUGGUUCUUGCGCCAAUUUGAGCAAACUGAUUAACUUUUUCCAUGCUCAUCAAGCUGUUCCGUCCUAAUAUAUCCACAAACUCUACCUUAUCAGUUUUUGUAAUAUCAAAAACUAGGGAAAAAACCAGCUAUGUUCAUGUCUUUAUCUCUAUCUUCAAUUCUCUGAUGGUUGAAAUCAUCAUCAAAAUCGCUCGCAUCCCUUCCCAAUCGAUCAUUGUUACAUUCAGCUGUUUCCCCCUUUCGGCUUCCAUCAUUCAAUAACUUGGCCAUACCAGCAAUGAUGUUUUCUUCUGCGUUAACAUUGAUAUUACCCUCCAGUCAACUUCCUUUCUCCAAAAGCUACAUCUCAGUUCUGUCCACAAAAUCAUUCGUCCAACCCUGAAUCAUAAAGUUUGAGUCAUUAACAGUCAAAACAAACUUAAUGAUGUCUCUCUGAAACACCGAUAUCAAGGUCGUAUCUCGAGAAUCAUUUUCUUGAUUUGUAUCAUCCAACGUUGACUCGUUCAAAGGUCUCUCAUUAGCUAGGAAUAAGUUUCUCACGUCAUUUGGCCG
rnacentral:lncRNA from 1 species